UGUGGCUGACGUCCAAACUACCGAGGUAUAGGUUUCCUGGAACAAAGGCCAUGGACACUUGGUGUGCCUGCUCUCCAAACAGUUACAUUAUCGAUACUCCUCCUUUGAAGAAGAGGAACAUAAUAGCCACUGCUUAAGUGUGGGCUGCACAUAUUGACUUCAUCCCAAGCAGUACGGUGUGGAAAAAAGGGGGAAAGAAAAGAGCGCCUGCUUCGUAGAGAAACCUGGCAUACACUACUUCAGCCAGACUGGAGAGACAAUGGCAAGUGAGGACUGGUGGUAGCAGGCAGAGAGGGAGAAAGCGAUGGAGAGAAACAUCAAUGUGAGAGAGAAGCAUUGAUUGGUUGCCUUUUGUACAUGCACUGACUGGGGAACGAACCCACAACCCAGGCACAUGCCCUGACUGGGAAUAAAACAAAAAGUCACCACUUUUCGGUUUGCAAAACAACC